rnacentral:lncRNA from 1 species
CCCGCUUGUAGAGUUGGUCAUUAAUGAUCAAGUAAUGGGUAGCCUUGUAUCGAAUCAGCUUAGCUUGGACUUUGUCAUUUGGAAAGGUGCCAUGAGUAAGGAAUCUAUAAAUCGGGGUAAUCCAACUAUCCCCCUGUUGUAAGUUGCACACUUCCGCAGCCAUGGUGCUUGGUGUUGCCAACAAUUCGACCUAAAUUUUUCUCCUAAUCUUGUCUUCCACCACUGAGGCGAGGCGAGCCAAAGCAUCUGCAUGACUAUUUGCCGCUCGAGGAAUUUGGGUGAUCUGGUAGUGGAAGUGCUUGAGCAAUAAUUGUGUUUGUGCCAAAUAUGUUGCCAUGGAGCUAUCCUUAACGUCAAAGUUGUUGGUGACCUGGUUAACCACCAAUAGGGAGUCACUGAAGAUAUCAAUUCGUUUAACCCCAAGGUGUUUGGCCAAACGUGAAGGGAAAAUAAUGAGAUUCAUGUGGGAUUUCUAGUGACUAGCAUGCAUAUACAAUUCAAAAUUUAUAUACAUAAGCAACGGAAGCAUGUUAUCACAUAAUAUCAAAGCUAUAGUCAUGCAAAUCCCCUUCAAGAUGCAUAGGUUUAUAUAAGAUGCAUCAAAACUUUUUAGUGAAGAACAAAGUGUAGGUUUAGUUUUAUACCUCUUGAUCUAGACUUUAGACCAAGGAUGGACCACCUCCAAGCCCUUUGUUCCUUGAACUCCUUGAGCCUAGCCUCCCUCCUUGCUUCCUCCACUUUGCUAGAAUGAGUGCUCCUUGGUUCUCCUUUAGUCUCCAAGGUUGAAGACCUCUAAAGAUCCACACCCACUAGUGUAGUGAGAUGGAUGGAGGAAUGACCAAAGGGAGAAAAAAAUGAUUAGCUAAAAACUCCCUUUGGUGGCCGGCCCUUUGUGUUUUGAGAGAGAGAUAUUUUGUUUUCUCUUUUGUUGAAAUGAACACACAAAAAACCCUAAUGAACUUUUUCACUAUAAAGUUCCUUUUAUAACACAAAGAAACAAGUCAACAAUUUGACUUUCUCUUUCCCUCUCUUUGGCCGGCCCUAUGUGUUUGGUUUAGGCUUUAGGCUUUUAUCAUUUCAAGUUAUCCUAUGCUUGAAUAAAAGCCCAAUGGGUUUAGGCCCAAUGGGCCCAAUUACACCCGAACUUUUCUUUAAGCCCAAAACGAUCUUUUAUCGCUUUUAUGAUUUCUUUAGACUUUCU